rnacentral:rRNA from 1 species
UUGGGAAUCUUGCACAAUGGGGGAAACCCUGAUGCAGCGACGCCGCGUGGAGGAUGACGGAUUUAGGUCUGUAAACUCCUUUUUCAGGGAAAGACUUAGGACGGUACCCUGAGAAUAAGGACCGGCUAACUACGUGCCAGCAGCCGCGGUAAGACGUAGGGUCCAAGCGUUGUCCGGAUUUACUGGGCGUAAAGAGCGCGUAGGCGGCUCGUUAAGUGUGAAGCUAAAUCUCUGGGCUCAACCCGGAAACUAUUUCGCAUACUGGCGAGCUGGAGUGAUGAAGAGGUUUGUGGAAUUCCUGGUGUAGCGGUGAAAUGCGUUGAUAUCAGGAGGAACACCCAUGGCGAAGGCAGCAAACUGGUCAUCAACUGACGCUGAGGCGCGAAAGCGUGGGUAGCAAACAGGAUUAGAUACCCGUGUAGUCC